rnacentral:rRNA from 1 species
UACGUAGGAUGCAAGCGUUGUCCGGAAUUAUUGGGCGUAAAGAGCGAGCAGGCGGUUUGGAAAGUUGGACGUGAAAUUUUAGGGCUUAACCCUAAAGGGUCGUCCAAAACUCCCAGACUAGAGUGCAGGAGAGGAAAGCGGAAUUCCCGGUGUAGUGGUGAAAUGCGUAGAUAUCGGGAGGAACACCAGAGGCGAAGGCGGCUUCUGGCCCGGUAACUGACGCUGAGGCGCGAAGGCUGGGGUAGCGAACAGG